AUGAACGCUAGCGAUAGGCUUAACACAUGCAAGUCGAGGGGCAGCAUGGUCUUAGCUUGCUAAGACUGAUGGCGACCGGCGCACGGGUGCGUAACGCGUAUGCAACUUGCCUCACAGAGGGGGAUAACCCGUCGAAAGACGGACUAAUACCGCGUACACUCCAUCUUGGGCAUCCAAGGUAGAGGAAAUGAAAUUCGCUGUGAGAUAGGCAUGCGUCCCAUUAGCUAGUUGGUGAGGUAACGGCUCACCAAGGCGACGAUGGGUAGGGGAACUGAGAGGUUGAACCCCCACACUGGUACUGAGACACGGACCAGACUCCUACGGGAGGCAGCAGUGAGGAAUAUUGAUCAAUGGGCGAGAGCCUGAACCAGCCAAGUCGCGUGAAGGAUGACUGUCUUAUGGAUUGUAAACUUCUUUUAUACGGGAAGAACAAGAGUCACGUGUGACUCCCUGCAUGUACCGUAUGAAUAAGCAUCGGCUAACUCCGUG
rnacentral:rRNA from 1 species